UGCCGGGUGACAAACCGGAGGAAGGUGGGGAUGACGUCAAGUCAUCAUGGCCCUUACGGCCUGGGCUACACACGUGCUACAAUGGUCGGUACAAAGGGUUGCCAAGCCGCGAGGUGGAGCUAAUACCCAUAAAACCGAUCGUAGUCCGGAUCGCAGUCUGCAACUCGACUGCGUGAAGUCGGAAUCGCUAGUAAUCGUGAAUCAGAAUGUCACGGUGAAUACGUUCCCGGGCCUU
rnacentral:rRNA from 1 species